GUACCAUAACCGACACAGGUGGGUAAGUAGAGUAUACUAAGGGGCGCGAGAUAACUCUCUCUAAGGAACUCGGCAAAAUAACUCCGUAACUUCGGGAGAAGGAGUGCCUUAUUCUUAAGGUUGCAAUAACAAGAUCCAAGCAACUGUUUAUCAAAAACACAGGUCUCCGCUAAGUCGUAAGACGAUGUAUGGGGGCUGACGCCUGCCCAGUGCCAGAAGGUUAAAGAAGUCGGUUAGCAAUAGCAAAGCUGGUAACUGAAGCCCUGGUGAACGGCGGCCGUAACUAUAACGGUCCUAAGGUAGCGAAAUUCCUUGUCGGGUAAGUUCCGACCCGCACGAAAGGCGUAAUGAUUUGGAUGCUGUCUCGGAGAGGGGCUCGGUGAAAUAGACUUGUCUGUGAAGAUGCGGACUACCUGCACCAGGACAGAAAGACCCUAUGAAGCUUUACUGUAACUUGAAAUUGAAAUUGGACUUUAUUCGCGCAGUAUAGGUGGGAGGCGUUGAUUAUAAUCUUGUGGGAUUAUUGGAGCCAUCAGUGAGAUACCACUCUUGUAAUGUUAGAUUUCUAACUUUGAAUCAUUAUCUGGUCAAAGGACAGUUCCAGGCGGGCAGUUUGACUGGGGCGGUCGCCUCCUAAACGGUAACGGAGGCGUACAAAGGUUUCCUCUGAACGGUUAGAAAUCGUAUCUAGAGUGUAAAGGCAUAAGGAAGCUUGACUGUGAGACCUACAAGUCGAGCAGGGACGAAAGUCGGUCUUAGUGAUCUGACGGUACUGAGUGGAAAGGCCGUCACUCAACGGAUAAAAGUUACUCUAAGGAUAACAGGCUGAUCUCCCCCAAGAGUUCACAUCGACGGGGAGGUUUGGCACCUCGAUGUCGGCUCAUCGCAUCCUGGGGCGGUAGUACGUCCCAAGGGUUGGGCUGUUCGCCCAUGAAAGCGGUACGCGAGCUGGGUUCAGAACGUCGUGAGACAGUUCGGUCCAUAUCCGGUGUAGGCGCUAGAAUAUUGAGAGGAGCCUUCUUUAGUACGAGAGGACCGAGAAGGACAUACCUCUGGUGUACCAGUUAUCGUGCCAACGGUAAACGCUGGGUAGCUAUGUAUGGAGUGGAUAACCGCUGAAAGCAUCUAAGUGGGAAGCCCACCUCAAGAUAAGUAUUCUCAUCACGUAAGUGAGUAAGGUCACGGUAAGACUAACCGUUUGAUAGGCAUUAAGUGUAAGUACAGUAAUGUAUGUGCUGAGAUGUCCUAAUAGACCGAGGACUUGAAU
rnacentral:rRNA from 1 species